GUGUCAGCAGCCGCGGUAAUACGGGGGGGGCAAGCGUUGUUCGGAAUUACUGGGCGUAAAGGGCUGGUAGGCGGCCAACUAAGUCGGAUGUGAAAUCCCCAGGCUUAACCUGGGAACUGCAUCCGAUACUGGUCGGCUUGAAUCCGGGAGAGGGAUGCAGAAUUCCAGGUGUAGCGGUGAAAUGCGUAGAUAUCUGGAGGAAUACCGGUGGCGAAGGCGGCAUCCUGGACCGGCAUUGACGCUGAACAGCGAAAGCUAGGGGAGCAAACGGGAUUAGAAACCCGAGUAGUCC
rnacentral:rRNA from 1 species